GACAAUGAUGGAGGGGGAGAAGCAGCAGAAGAAAAGACAAAGAAAAAAAGAGAAAAACGUAAGAAAACAAACAAACAAACAAAACGAAACAGAAGAAAACUAAAAAAGAAAAAAGAAAAAAAAAAAAGCAGAAGAAAACAAAAUAAAUAAAUAAGAAAAUCAACAACCGAAGAAAAACCCAUUAAAUAAAACAAAAUAGCUCUCUUUCCAGAGAAAAGAAAGCCCGGAGGGCAAGGAGUUUGGGGAAGCGCCGCAGCGGGACCCGCCCGCCCCGUUUCAUCACCACGGACAGCGGCCGCUGCCGGGCAGCUGCGGGUGGAGCUCAGAGCGCCGGCAACGGGGAGGCGAUCCAAAGUGGGGAGGUGAUCCUAAAUGGGGAGGUGAUCCUAAAUGGGGAGAUGAUCCUAAAUGGGGAGGUGAUCCUAAAUGGGGAGGUGAUCCUAAAUGGGGAGAUGAUCCUAAAUGGGGAGGUGAUCCAAAGUGGGGAGGUGAUCCUAAAUGGGGAGGCGAUCCAAAGUGGGGAGAUGAUCCUAAAUGGGGAGGUGAUCCUAACUGGGGAGGUGAUCCUAAAUGGGGAAGUGAUCCUAAAUGGGGAGGUGAUCCUAAAUGGGGAGGUGAUCCUAACUGGGAAGGUGAUCCUAAC